rnacentral:lncRNA from 1 species
AAAAGCCAAAGAACGAUCUCAGGAUAGAUUUGUCAUAAAUAUUAUAACUAAAGGAACAAUAUUUCUGGUUUAUUAGGAACUUAUUAAAAUGGAUAAGAAAUAAAUGCACCCUAACAGAAAAAAUAAUAGGCCAAGGUCUUGAAUACAUAAUUCACAGAAAAGAGCAGCAGCCUUCCUAGUAAUCAAAAGAAUGCUAAUUGAAAGAACGACAUGCAUUUUUUAUCUUAAAAUAGUAAAAAAAAAAAAACCAAAAACUUCUCUUUUAGAAUGAAAAGAUCCUACGAUGGCCCACAGAUGCAUAAAUUAAAGCUACCUUUUGGUCAGGCAGUUUGGAGAGACAGAAAGGGCAUUUUAAAUGUUUUUACACUUUGACCUAGUCGUUUCACUUCUGGGACUUCAUCUCAAGGAAAUAAUCAGAGAAAAGUGACAGUUUUUUGUACGAUGAUAGUCAAUGCAGGAUCAUCCGUAAAAGCCCGAAGGAGAAAGCAGCUUACAACGAGAGAGGGUAGAAUGAUGACACAUAUAUCAUAGGAUAUUCACGCUGAAGACUCUUAAGCAAUCACAAAAAAUAAUAUUCGAGACAAGAGUAACAUCACGGAAAACGUUUAAGGAAAAAGAAGAAAACUCUACAUAUACUCCAAAUCCUAUUACACUAAACAAUUAUUCUUUUAAAAAGAAUGAAAGGGUAGAGCCCAUGCUUCCAGAUGCACGAAGGAGAGAAGGUGGCAACCCCCCAGAAUUCCCGAACCCUCGGCUGGCCUCAGGAGAGGCACACACGCUUCCAGAGAGGCAGAGAGUAUUUGGGGAAAGCGGCACACAGAUCUGAUCACAGUGCCUCCGCGGAGGGGCCCGGACCGCCGAGGGGAGACUGACUUUCCACUGCAUCCCCCACUUAUUGGGCAGCUCGGGCCAGGCUGUGCUGCGCUAACAGUACACCUGCCCUCUCGGGGCCUAACCCAGGAAGGGCUGUUUCCCACUGAUGCAGAGUUCACUACGGGUGGGGGCAGCGGUGUCUCCAGAAUGGGGAUUUUCCAAGUCAAUAAAGGUUUAAAAGAAAAUAUGAACGUUUGACUAUUUGCAGAUGACCAAAAUCGCAGUUUACUUCGCACAGGUUCUAGCAGAAUAAAUGUGCAAUAAAUGGUUGUUGAAUGAUAAGU